rnacentral:tRNA from 1 species
AAAUGCCCAGAUGAACCACUCCGGCUCCAUAAACA